CAUCGCAGGCUGCAGCGCUGGGCGCAGUAGGGCAUCUCCCAGCGGCUCCCGUGUCCCGGUUUCAAAUCUACAGCCUCCAGCGCUAGGGCCGUUCGCCUCUCGACCCCCCCGCCUCGUGCUAGAGUGCUAGACAUCCACAUCGCGUCAUCGCUGAGCAUCCAAUCAAGGCGUCGAUCCGACCAUAUUCCCUGCAGAUUAACGCAAAGAAUAAGGGAAACAACAUGUGGUUGUCAUCAUAGAAUCACAAAGACAGGAGCUAUUGACAUUUUUUAAAGAAUAAUACUGAUGUGUCAAUGCGCCAUGAUGAUGAGUUUGCAAUAGUUGCCGUGGAGGAACAACUAACUAAUGGGAAUUCUGAAUCUGAGAAGCAAGAAGAAAAUGUCAUACCAACAUCAGUGAUGACGAUGCCGACGGCGGAUCCUGGUGGCAUGGUGUUAGGGAGGUUCGGCGACGGGCGCGUGUGGACGGAUUCGUGCAGGAUGGUGGAGUUGUCUAGCGUCGUGGUGACGUCGACAGCAGGCCGGGCAAUGUCGAUGGGUCAGUUGCUGCUCUGGAGAUGGACCAGUGGAAGAUGGCGCUCUGAGAGUGUGUCGAUCCGGUAUGAGAUCUAGUCUCGGUAUGUGGUUGGGUUGGGGCAUCCAGUUUUAAAUGUUAAGGUUUGGUGCGAUGUCCGUUUGGUAUUAGGCCUGGAUAUUCGGCACGUGUUCAUCA